GGGACUUCCUGUAUUUAGGCCACUGCUUCCUGGGGCCAAUCCUUUUGCCCAAGCCCUAGCCAGAUGUCCCUAGCCAUGGAACCAAGGAGCCCCCCCCCGACCCAGUACUGCUGACAAAACAGUCCAGAGCAGCUUAUCUUUGACCAGAGUUAAUGGUUUCCUCAAGGAAAAUCACAAGGAGGUUUUAAUUGAAUCUAGAGGCCUGUUCCACCAGUGUUGAUGCUCCUUCACAAAAGAGUCUAUGGUGGAUAUCGUCAACCCUAGUUGAGAAACACUCAAUUAUGCACUCACUCAUGCUAAGAUGGAAAAAAAGAAGGAAGACACGGAAAGGAGAUGUUCAAGACAGAAAAGGAAAAAACUGAGUGAUAUCGGCAACAAGGCUCUGGCACCGAUUUCAUCUACCUCUCCACCUUAUUCCAGAGGAAGCACACAGGACUGUGCCAUCACAGUAUUUCAACAUAUCUGCUGCUGCAGAUUGCUUUGAGAUGAGUCAAUCAUUUUGCUAACCUGCCCACACAGUAGAAAGGAAUGACAGUUGUAUAUAUAAUAGGAUGUGAAAUUAGUGUGUGAGAGUGUGAGUGAGUGCAUCAACAAUCCCUUUAUUAUUUUUUCUCUGUAUGAGCUUGUAGGAACAGGAUGUACCUUUGACUCCUGUUAUUUCAGCUUGGAAAAGACAUGAUUUAUUUAAAUGUGUUGUGUAAUCACUGCUUGCUUGCUGUGUAGAUUUGCCAUGGUGCAUUUUCAAGAAGCUUUAGCCUCCCUAUUUGUUUGCCAUGCAAAAUUCUCAUCAGCAGAUGCACACGUCCCACAUCAUUUGAGUGAGUCUUGGUUAGUGAGGUUUGGAUUCUUAUUUGAAUGUUUCCAUGUAACUUUCCAUCCACAUCCUCCAGUAAAGCCAAAAAAGACAAUUCAUUUCAC